GGUCACUUCUCAUCGAAGGCAUAUCCGGUGUCUGACAACACAUAUGACUGCACACAAUUAAUUUAUCCUCUUAAAGUAUUAUCGGUAUCCACGUAUCAGUGUAGUAUCCGAUGUCUGUGUAUGUUAUCCACAGCUUAUACCAGCUCUGACUUAAGAGCAUCAAUCAAACUAAAACAGAAAUUAACAGUUCCCAAUACACAACAU